rnacentral:rRNA from 1 species
UACGUAGGGUGCGAGCGUUAAUCGGAAUUACUGGGCGUAAAGCGUGCGCAGGCGGUUUUGUAAGCCAGAUGUGAAAGCCCCGGGCUUGACCUGGGAAUGGCAUUUGGGACUGCAAGGCUUGAGUGCGGCAGAGGAGACUGGAAUUCCCGGUGUAGCAGUGAAAUGCGUAGAUAUCGGGAGGAAUACCGAUGGCGAAGGCAGGUCUCUGGGCUGACACUGACGCUCAUGCACGAAAGCGUGGGGAGCAAACAGG